CCUACUUAAGACAAUCUUGAAUAUAAGAACGGACUAUGAAUACCGGCCUAAAUCCAUCUAUUAUUGUUAUUGUUUUGCACUUCUUCGCAGUGCUAGUGAGCUUUAGUUCCUCUAUUAACUUCCAUCACGCCACAAGUGUAUUUUAUACGAUUUAUGCCGAAUUACGUUAGUUCCAUGUGUAAUUGUUGAAUGUUUUAAAAUAAAGAGAUCAAUGUAUCUGUUUUAUUCAUUAAAUUUUCAGAUUAAUGUAUUUAAAAACGGUUUUUAAAACUUGAUCCAGAAUCCCAUGAAGUACAUACAGGUGACAUUAGGAUUGUGUUGAAAAUAAACGGUUAUAUUUUUUCUUCUCAAUUUCGGCGGUCACUUAACUGAUUAUAUUCCGGUACUUAAUUUCCGUUAAUUUUAUUUGAGUCGUUAUACAAGUCGGUUUACGAGUGUCAGAAUGGACGAGCUAAGCAUUGAAGAAAAAGAGUUUCUUAUCAACUCCUUCCGCAAUACAGGCAAAAACUAUACUGAGGCGUAUCGUGCAUUUUAUAGUAAAUAUGGCAAUAAAGUGUCAAGCAAAUCUGUACUCAGAAGGGUUAUUGAUAAUUAUAUUGAGAAAGGCAUUCUGUAUGAUGGUACAGAUGAACCCGGCCCAUCUUGUACCGUUACACCGUGUAACUUACACGAAACAAUUAAUACGGUUAAAGCAUAUUUCAAAGAAAAUCCAAAUUCCUCGAUUCGGAAAGCUGCUCGGGUUCUGGGUUUGAAGCGAGAAAUUAUCCGAAAGAUUGGGAAAAAUAUGUAUUAAACUACAUCUAUAUAAAAUCACUACAGUUACAUCAGUUAUUGACAUAGAAAGCGAUGGAGAAACGAAUUUCAACACAAUCCUUAUGGUCACCUUUUAAAUUAAGAGAUUUGAAAAAAUAUAGAGGACACACAAUAUAUUCAAGGGACACUUAUUAUAUUCAAAUAUUGUUUCUAAUGUAUCAGCGCUAUACAUUGCCAUAUAUGAUAUGUGAAAUAUAUUGAAAAUGUCAGGAUUGUCUCGUUCAACGUUACCGGGCAUAAUUUAAGCGGUCUUCCUACUGUGACAGUCGAAAAAUAAGGUAAUUUUUCGGAAUAUUUUAUAAAAAUAGUAUAAGACGUAUCAAUCUGAAACUUUGUAAAUUUAUUUAAACAUUUUGUGAAUAUCCAGUAUUUUUUUUUAUUUAAAAAUAUUGAUUUGCUUGUUUAAGAUAGCGUGUAUUUUACCGGAGUGCGUAAAAAUAUUUUUUGUUUACGGUAAUCAUAAAAUCAGCUGUUAUCCCAAACAGCACGCAAAAAUGACAACAUGCGGAAAAAGUUUCGAUUUUUGCAAAAAAAAACCUCCAGUUUUUUAAGUUGCAAAAAUUGAAUUUUGCAAAUAUUAAUUUAGUUGUAGUAUGAGAAAUAAAAAGACAUUUACUGAACAUAUCUGUCAAGUUUGAAGUGAAUCGGACAAUCCGUUUUUGAGAUAUCGUAGUUAGAUUGACUUGAAAAAUGUUGUUUUGAAAAAAACGUGUUUAAAGUUUUACGAUUUUCCGAUUUCUACCUGCGCGCCGCUCCGCUUCAAAGCCUGUAAUUUCGCCAAUUUUUUGAUUUUAUAUUUUAUACUUUAGGAUUAUAUUUUUAUGAUGUUAAACUGUAAGAUGCAAAAAAAAUUUUUUUUAUUUUUUGAAAAUGUCACAGUGGGAAGACUCCUUAAUGAAACAUCCUUUAGCCGAGAUAUAUGCACUGAAUCAUCUGUCAUUUUGGUAAUUUUCUUUGGUAGUGUAUUUAACGUGCCAUCAACUAUAUAAUAUUUAGUUGAUUUUUUUGACACAGAUUUCUGUAUUGUUGAAGUCUCAACCGAUUAAUCAUUGUAAUAAAACCUCUUUGUUUAUUUAA